ACGCUCGACACCUACAGGAGGCAGCAGUCGGGAAUAUUGCGCAAUGGAGGAAACUCUGACGCAGUGACGCCGCGUAUAGGAAGAAGGUUUUCGGAUUGUAAACUAUUGUCGUUAGGGAAGAUACAAGACAGUACCUAAGGAGGAAGCACCGGCUAACUAUGAGCCAGCAGCCGCGGUAAUCUGAGCGGGCUGGCAAGGC
rnacentral:rRNA from 1 species